GUACACGCUGUGACUAGCAUAUCAAUAAGCGGAGGAAAAGAAACUAACAAGGAUUCCCCUAGUAACGGCGAGUGAAGCGGGAAGAGCUCAAAUUUGAAAUCUUAAAGGGUUUCCCUUUACGAAUUGUAGUUUAAAGAAGUGUUUUCUGUUGAGGUUUUGGUAAAAGUUCUUUGGAAUAGGACAUCAUAGAGGGUGAGAAUCCCGUAUUUGACCUCUACUUUCAACUUUGUGAUACACUUUCAAAGAGUCGGAUUGUUUGGGAAUGCAGUCCAAAAUGGGUGGUAAAUUUCAUCUAAAGCUAAAUAUUGGCGAGAGACCGAUAGCGAACAAGUACCGUGAGGGAAAGAUGAAAAGAACUUUGAAAAGAGAGUUAAACAGUACGUGAAAUUGUCAAAAGGGAAGCGUUUGACACCAGUGUUGUUUUUCUGAAAAUCAAUUAAAGAACUGUUUAUGCUAAGUUGUUUAGUACUUUAUCAGCUAACUGUUUAGUUUUGAGCUUUUCUUUAGAUGCACUUUUCAGUUAGACAAGUCAACAUCAAUUUCUUUUGCUGUAAAAAAGCUUGAGGAAGGUGGCUUGAGAUUCGUCUUAAGUGUUUAUAGCCUCUUGCCUAUGCAGUCGGAGUAGAUUGAGGUCUGCAGCGUAGAUCCUUCGGGGCUAAAUGCAUUUGUGCUAAGUUAUAGCAUUUUAUAGACAACUUGUUGACUAUGAUUUGUCUUGUAGCUUACUCGCUUAUGUUAUUUUACCUACGCUUAGGAUGUUGAAGAUGUAGCACAUCAU
rnacentral:rRNA from 1 species